GUGGCGGGGCAGUGGGUGCAGCUCUGCCCGGGGCUACUGGCUGCGGUUCCUUGCGGGAUCCACUCCACGUGGCCGGCGCUGCGACCCGUGCCUCGCUGGCUUCGGUGCAGACUGAGUCCGAGAGGCCCCUUUCUCUGCGGUCUUAGCUUUCAAGCGCUCGGAGUUGGGUGCGCGUCGCUUAGAAGGUACCAUCUCCCUAAAACUGCAAACAGUUCAUUCCAUAGUACUUGGAGCUUCUAGCAAGUUCUCACUUUUGAUUUUUCCGGUUCUUCUGAAAGCCAAUUAACUGACAGUGGUUGUAAAAACAGUGUCUUUCGCACAAGAAGUUGUUACUCAUCAUUCAGAACUGGAUCUGCAGAGAACUUCAAGAGAUGACUAUAGAGGCCCUUUCAGUGAAGUUGGAACUCUACACUUUCCAGAACACACGGAGUCAUUUUGUAGCCACAGAGAGUGUGGGUACAAAAAUAAAUAUCGACAUGCA